ensembl:snRNA U2 U2 spliceosomal RNA
AUCGCUUCUUGGCCUUUUGGCUAAGAUCAAGUGUAGUAUCUGUUCUUAUCAGUUUAAUUUCAGAUUCCCCCUUGCAUUAAGAUAAGUUCAGUUUCCCUAAAUAUGGCUGUUUACACUUCCAGUAGGCAUCUUAGCUAUU